GAUGAACGCUGGCGGCGUGCUUAACACAUGCAAGUCGAACGGAAAGGCUCCUGCUUGCUGGGGUACUCGAGUGGCGAACGGGUGAGUAACACGUGGGUGAUCUGCCCUGCACUUCGGGAUAAGCCUGGGAAACUGGGUCUAAUACCGGAUAGGACGAUGGUUUGGAUGCCAUUGUGGAAAGUUUUUCGGUGUGGGAUGAGCUCUCGGCCUAUCAGCUUGUUGGUGGGGUAAUGGCCUACCAAGGCGUCGACGGGUAGCCGGCCUGAGAGGGUGUACGGCCACAUUGGGACUGAGGUACGGCCCAGACUGCUACGGGAGGCAGCAGUGGGGAAUAUUGCACAAUGGGCGCAAGGCUGAUGCAGCGACGCCGCGUGGGGGAUGACGGCCUUCGGGUUGUAAACACCUUUCGCUAGGGACGAAGCGCAAGUGACGGUACCUGGAGAAGAAGCACCGGCUAACUACGUG
rnacentral:rRNA from 1 species